CCUACGGGAGGCAGCAGUGGGGAAUUUUGGACAAUGGGCGAAAGCCUGAUCCAGCCAUACCGCGUGCGGGAAGAAGGCCUUCGGGUUGUAAACCGCUUUUGUCAGGGAAGAAAUACCUCGGGUUAAUACCCUGGGUGAUGACGGUACCUGAAGAAUAAGCACCGGCUAACUACGUGCCAGCAGCCGCGGUAAUACGUAGGGUGCAAGCGUUAAUCGGAAUUACUGGGCGUAAAGCGUGCGCAGGCGGUUCUAUAAGACAGAUGUGAAAUCCCCGGGCUCAACCUGGGAACUGCAUUUGUGACUGUAGAGCUAGAGUACGGUAGAGGGGGAUGGAAUUCCGCGUGUAGCAGUGAAAUGCGUAGAUAUGCGGAGGAACACCGAUGGCGAAGGCAAUCCCCUGGACCUGUACUGACGCUCAUGCACGAAAGCGUGGGGAGCAAACAGGAUUAGAUACCCUGGUAGUCCACGCCCUAAACGAUGUCAACUGGUUGUUGGGAGGGUUUCUUCUCAGUAACGAAGCUAACGCGUGAAGUUGACCGCCGUGGAGGUACGGCCGCGAGUAGUAACGUACGAAGUUAAGUUAGUACGGCGUUGAGAGNGCCGACGGACGACGACGAGGGAGGAGG
rnacentral:rRNA from 1 species